AUGAUACAGUUUUCUAAUUCAGCCAUGUCUACCCUAAAAGAAGCUGAUUUUUUCACUCCUGAUUCCAAGGAUUCUAGUGUCAUUCAUAUGGAUUUAGACCGCAGCUUCUUACCAGUACCUUCUCCACUGGGCGGCUCCAUUUUAGCAAGUUUUGCUCGGCGGAACGUCAUGGAUUUUGAAACUGACGUUCGUUCCAGCAUCGAACAGCUGGUGGGAGAUAACUAUGGUUUCCCAGGAGACAGUUGUCCCGACGUUACAUUUAACAACCGUUCAUGUGGCUUCUCUAAGGAAAUUAUAUAUGGCAGCACCUGUCUCACACUCCUCAACAAGCUUGUCCUUUGCUGUAUGAGGGAGCAAGGCGCCUUCCUUUUCCCCAUGGGCACCAAUGGGCACUAUGUCUCGGCAGCAAAGUUUAUGAAUGCAAAAACAUUGACGAUUCCAACAAAUGUACGUUCAGGCUUCAAGAUUGAACCGACCGCUCUAAGAGCAGCUCUGGAUGAUGCAUAUGAGAAUGAGAAUGUAUGGCCAUGGGUGUAUAUUUUUGGCCCUACAGUUAACCCUUCUGGUUCCCUGUACAGUGAUGACGAGAUAAAAGAUUUGCUGUCCAUUUGUGCUGAACAUGGAGCUAGGGUAGUGAUAGACACCUCCUCCUCUGGUCUGGAGUUCGAAACCGGAGAUGGCCGGAGCCUGUGGAAUUUGGAUAGUUUUUCUUAUAAUAUUGCUUCAUGUCUCGCACUCCGCGUUUUUAUGCUUGGGGAGCUGUCCCUUCAGCUGACCAUGAGUGGGUUUGACUUUGGGUUUAUGAUUUACAUUGACCCGUCCUUGAUCAAACAUAUGUUAACAAGCCUGAGUCAACCACACCGCACAUUGAAGUAUACUUCCAGAAAACUGUUGUGUCUUAAGAACAAGAGGGACCAGCGCUUCUCUGAUCUCAUUGAGGAGCAAAAGGAGACACUGAAGCAUCGUGCCGAUAAGUUGACUAAGACACUCGAGAGCUGUGGCUGGGAUGUCGUCGGCUGCCAUGGCGGUAUCUCAAUGCUGGCGAAACCAACGGCCUACAUCGGCAAAUCGUUCAAGAUAGACACUUUCGAAGGCGAGCUCGAUGGCUGCAACAUCAGGGAAGCGCUCCUUAGAUCCACUGGACUCUGCAUAUCCAGCAGCAAGUGGACCGGGAUACCGGACUACUGCCGGUUCAGCUUUGCUCCCGAGAGCAGCGAAUUCGACCAGGCGAUGGACUGCAUAACUCGGUUCAGGGAGUUGGUUCUAGGAGACAAUGCACAGAUGAAUGUUAAUAGUAGCUAG
rnacentral:rRNA from 1 species